rnacentral:ncRNA from 1 species
CGACUCCAUGAAGUCGGAAUCGCUAGUAAUCGUGAAUCAGAAUGUCACGGUGAAUACGUUCCCGGGCCUUGUACACACCGCCCGUCACACCAUGGGAGUGGGCUGCACCAGAAGUAGAUAGCUUAACCUUCGGGAGGGCGUUUACCACGGUGUGGUUCAUGACUGGGGUGAAGUCGUAACAAGGUAGCCCUAGGGGAACCUGGGGCUGGAUCACCUCCUUA